GUGUUUGCUCCAAUAGUACAUAUACUAAAAUUAGAACAAUGCAGAGAAAGUUAAUGUGGUCCCUACACAAGAAUGACAUGCAUAUUUAUAAAUUAUUCCAUAAUUUC
ensembl:snRNA U6 U6 spliceosomal RNA